GGUAGCCGACCUGAGAGGGUGACCGGCCACAUUGGGACUGAGAUACGGCCCAGACUCCUACGGGAGGCAGCAGCUGAGAAUCUUCCACAAUGGACGAAAGUCUGAUGGAGCGACAUCGCGUGAGGGAUGAAGGCCUUCGGGUUGUAAACCUCGGAAAUUAUCGAAGAAUGAGUGACAGUAGAUAAUGUAAGCCUCGGCUAACUACGUGCC
rnacentral:rRNA from 1 species